GAGAUGUCAAAUUGUCAAGGCAUUAUGGAAGACUGCCCCUAAAUUUGUUAAAUCUGAGAUCUAACUCUUGAAGACUCUUCAAGCCACACAAACCUAUAUAACAAAGAAUAACAUUAUCAUCUCCAUUCUAUGUAACAAAAUCAUUACAAUUGAUAAUAACAAAAUUGGAAUUUUGCUACUUACUUUGAUUCGGUAAAGAGCCAUUGAGUUUGUUG
rnacentral:misc_RNA from 1 species